GUUUUAUCUACAGACUAUUGAAAAAAUGAUUUGGUUUUAAAAAUCCAUAUCUAGUUACGUAAAGUUAGCAGAGAUAAAAUGGAAAUUAAAUUAAAAUUGAAGAAAAAAGCUUUCACCAUGUGUGAAAUUAUUUCCAGUCUCACUAAGUUGAGUACUACAUCAAGGAUGGUAGGAAUUGGUUGUGGUGUUUAGCCUCCAGGUUUUCUGGGGGUAGAAUCUCCUUCCUUCGUCUUUGCUCAUGUGAACUUCGUAGAGUUGAUUGUAUUCCUAAUUCUAGGGGUAGAACAUGUGACCAAUCCUACACCAAUCAACAUGCCACGUUCCUUGAACACCUGUAGUUAAUUCAAUGUGAGCCAAGUCAAUCAGCACUUUUGAGGACUACUUGGAUCUGGCAGCCAGUCUGAGACCAUGAAAACACUGAGGAGAGAAAUGGAGAGAAGAGACAGAGAGAGGAACACACAAGAAGAAUGUCAUGUGAUGAUGGACAUGGAGAUUGGAGUACAUAAUUGGACUGCAAGCCAAGGAAUGCCAAGGAUUGCAACACCAAAAGGUGUUUGGAUUAGAUGUAGUGUGACCCUCUUCAUUCCUCCCGUCUCUUCCUCUCACACUGCCCAGAGACCAGUUUUAAAGCAAGCUCAGCUCUUUCUCGCAGCAAGGCAUAGAGGAGCAAGCUGAGACCUACAGAUUGCCAACAGACUCUUCCAGCAAAAUUGCCCUGUCUCAAUCAGUUAAACUGGGGAGAAGGGAGAGCCUCUGCCAGUUUUCUCCCAUCUCUUCCACCAUGUGGUGAGACACCCAAAGCAUUCCACGGGACUUUAGGAUCAAGACGAAAUACUCCAGAUUUCUAAGUCUCAAUAAUACCCAAACCCCAGACCAUAUGUAGUGGGACUCCACAUACUUUCUAACCUUUGCAUCUUGUGUAUAACCUCUCUGUCAAACACUGGUUUUCUGGAGCUUCAUA
rnacentral:lncRNA from 13 species